CCUUUGUAUGAGAAAGACYGAGAGUGCUGGACCUGUUCAAGAUUCCUGCUUGUAAGCAUCUGAUCAGUUCGUAUGAAGGACAUGCUGCAAUCAAGUUGUCACAAAAAAAGAGAGUAAAACAAAAAGAUGAGAAGUAAACUCAGCUGGAAGGUGACUCAUGGCA